rnacentral:rRNA from 1 species
AACGAACGCUGGCGGCAUGCCUAACACAUGCAAGUCGAACGAGACCACCGGGAGCAGUGGCGCAUGGGUGUGUAACGGGUGGGAAGAUGAACUUAGGUUUGGAAUAACUCUACGACAGGGGUGAUAACAGCGGAUAAUGUCUUCGGACCAAAGAUAUAUCGAACUUGGAUGGGCAAGAGUUGGAUUAGCUAGUUGGUAGGGUAAAAGCCUACCAAGGCGACGAUGCGUAGCUGGUCUGAGAGGGUGAUUAGCCACACUGGGACUGAGACACGGUCCAGACUCCUACGGGAGGACGCAGUAGGGAAUCUUCCGCAAUGGGCGAAAGCCUGAUGGAGCAAUGCCGCGUGAGUGAUGAAGGUCUUCGGCUCGUAAAACUAUGUUAUUAGGAAAGAAAAAAUGUGUAUGUAACUAUGCACGUCUUGACGGUACCUAAUCAGAAAGCAACGGCUAACUUCGUG